GGUCCUAUAGCUCAGUUGGUUAGAGCGCAAGUCACCCCUGCCCGCAUCUGGUAGACGACGUCGGCUAACAUUAAUAUAGGUGGUGCUAAUAACGCCAAGGUCGCGAGUUCGACCCUCGUUGGGACCA